UUUGCUCAUCAACUCCUCCACUUGCUUUUGAAGCUCCUUCGUCUCCUCGGGAUUGCUUCGGUAAGCUGGUCGAUUCGGUAUGACAGCUCCGGGUACAAAGUCAAUCUGGUGCUCGAUGUCUCUGAUUGGUGGCAAUCCACUUGGCAUCUCCUCAGGAAACACAUCGUCGAACUCCUGCAAUAAAAACUUAACCAAACUAGGGAGGGAUGUGUUAGAAUCCUCAAAAUUGAGGAGGGACUCCUUGUACACUAACAAUAUCAUUUGCCUAUUAUCGCUCAUAGCCUUUUUCAACUCACUCUCUUUUGUAUAGAAGUUGACCUUUGGCUUUUCUCU
rnacentral:lncRNA from 1 species